CUGACAUCCAAGUACUGAGUAAUUCAACAUUCAGGACCUUGGCGUGACUUUCCCUGUAAUUCAACAUGCAGGACCACUGUGUGACUUUCCUGAUAAUUCAACAUGCAGGACCUUGGCGUGACUUUCCCUGUAAUUCAACAUGCAGGACCCUGGAGUGACUUUCCCUAUAAUUCAACAUGCAGGACCCCUGUGUGACUUUCCCUGUAAUUCAACAUGCAGAACCCUGGUGUGACUUUCCCUGUAAUUCAACAUGCAGGACACUGGUGUGACUUUCCCUGUAAUUCAACAUGCAGGACCCUGGGGUGGCUUUCCCAGUCCCAAGUGCCACAAAAGAGCUGGAGCUGGUUGCUUAGCAACCUACUUGCUCUUGGUGAAUCAUGGGGGCAGAAGGCAGUGCAAAGUCAUUGGUGGCCCCAGUCAUCACAUGAUCAAGAUAUGACCAAUCAGGUCAUCCUCUUCCCUUGACUACAGUGAUUGGCUCAGGGUUGCACAGGGGACUCGAACUGGUGCAGAUGGAGUCAACCCCAGGACAUUGGCGUGAGUGUUGGGAAAGAUGUGUCCUCCUUCUGCUUGGGUGACCGCAAUGGGAGGCCUUCCCUGCCACCUCCAGGAAAACAUCAGGCCGGAGUGAAGCUCACAGAGAGGCAAGCGUUUCACGCCCCGAUGCCUGGAAUCUUGCUUGGCACAGAGUGGGAGCUCAAUGAAUACGUACUGAAUGGAUGACCUCACUGGAGUCCUGAGCAGACGGAAAGCGCCACAUCAGGAGGUGGGAGCCCCAGACAAUCCUGGGAUGAUUCCAUUUUACAGAUGAGGAAACCCGGACAGCAGAGGGGCUCGUGUUCCUCCCAAGGUUGCUCAGCUCUGAAGAUCAAACCUCCCCUUGACCCCAGCUGUGUGCACACCCACAGCCCCAAAGCCCAGGCUUUGCACCAGCUUUUGGCACAGUCGAAAUAGAUAAAUUAUCCCCAAACAGCCUCCUAAGCUCUAGAAAGAGAAGCUAAGCCAGUGUGAAUAAACCUUGUAAUAUUUAUUCUAGCACCUAUGUUAAUUUUGUGUCAUAUCUGUGGUUCUAGAGACUUAUAG
rnacentral:lncRNA from 1 species